rnacentral:rRNA from 1 species
GCAAGUCGAACGGGACUUACUUAGCUUGCUUUGUAAGUUUAGUGGCGAACGGGUGAGUAACACGUGAGCAACCUGCCCAGAAGAGGGGGAUAGCUCGGGGAAACUCGAAUUAAUACCGCAUACGGUCCUGUGUAGCAUUACGCAGAGAUCAAAGGUGCCUUCGGGUGCCACUUCUGGAUGGGCUCGCGGCCUAUCAGUUAGUUGGUGAGGUAACGGCUCACCAAGGCAAUGACGGGUAGCUGGUCUGAGAGGAUGAUC